UCUAACCCUGUCUUACAGACUACUAGACCCUUUACAAUAUUACUCUUCCCUCUUCUUUUCCUUCCCUCUCCCAGAGUGGUUUGAUGGCACCUUAUAGAAAAACAUCCCCACUCAGCUCCCUAUGCAUCUCAGUGGUUUGCUCCUGUCUGGACAACAUCAGCAUCUUUCUUUCUCCUGUCUCAUGCCAGUGACUUGAUCCUGCAUCACUGAGAGUCAGUUUAUUUUAGCCCCUCCCCCAGGGUCCACAGUAGUUUGAUCCUACUUCUUGGACUAUUACAUCUUUUCUCAUCCCCCCCACGCCCCCAGCCCCACCACCACAAAUGGUAUGGUCCUUAGAAUCAGGUCCAUUUUGUCCCCCUACUGGUCUUCUAAGCAGAUUGAAGCAGCUUCAUCUCAUUCCUGAUUCAUCGUGAUCCCCUCAGUGGCUUGCUCCUGCAAUAGUAAUGUAAAACUGACCCAAAUGGGUUUAAAAUGGUCACAGGUUGAUAUUGAUCCAUUCAAAUCUUUUUUGGCAAGAAAAAUCAGUUCUGGUCAGUUCAAAUCUACUUUGAUCAUUUUAAACCAGUUCUGCAGAUCUCAAGCGUGUGUUGGGUAAACUCAGGAAGAUGGCUGAAGACUAUGCUGAUUCAAGCUAAAGCAAGGAAUCAGAAAAGGCAAGAUUCAUUAACACUUGGGUGAAAAGAGUUAACAUGGGCAGAAUCUUGGAAGACUUCAAGAAGGUCACAUUCAAACUGAGUUAUGAAGAAUAGCCAUAGAAAUGUUAUUAAAAAGAAAAUAUUAUGAAGAAAAUAAAUAGAAAGGAGAUCAUGGGAUCUGUCUGAUCUUCUUUUCCCGUGUAAUCAAGAAAGCCUGGGAAGAGAAUUAUUAGAGG